GAUGAACGCUAGCGGGAGGCUUAACACAUGCAAGUCGAGGGGCAGCAUAGGGUAGCAAUACUCUGAUGGCGACCGGCAAACGGGUGAGUAACGCGUAUGCAACCUACCCUGUAACAGGGGGAUAACCCGGAGAAAUUCGGACUAAUAUCCCGUAAUAAUAUCCGGAGGCAUCUUUGGAUAUUUAAAGUUCCGACGGUACGGGAUGGGCAUGCGUAACAUUAAUUGGUUGGUAAGGUAACGGCUUACCAAGGCUAUGAUGUUUAGGGGUCCUGAGAGGGUGGUCCCCCACACUGGUACUGAGACACGGACCAGACUCCUACGGGAGGCAGCAGUGAGGAAUAUUGGUCAAUGGGCGCAAGCCUGAACCAGCCAUCCCGCGUGCAGGAAGACGGCCCUAUGGGUUGUAAACUGCUUUUCCAGGGAGAGAAACUUACGCACGUGUUGCGUGACUGACGGUACCCUGGGAAUAAGCAUCGGCUAACUCCGUG
rnacentral:rRNA from 1 species